rnacentral:rRNA from 1 species
AACGAACGCUGGCGGCAGGCCUAACACAUGCAAGUCGAACGCCCUAGCAAUAGGGAGUGGCAGACGGGUGAGUAACACGUGGGAACCUUCCCUGUAGUACGGAAUAGCCCAGGGAAACUUGGAGUAAUACCGUAUACGCCCGAAAGGGGAAGAUUUAUCGCUAUAGGAUGGGCCCGCGUAGGAUUAGCUAGUUGGUGAGGUAAUGGCUCACCAAGGCGACGACCCUUAGCUGGUUUGAGAGAACGACCAGCCACACUGGGACUGAGACACGGCCCACGACUCCUACGGGAGGCAGCAGUGGGGAAGUAUUGGACAAUGGGCGCAAGCCUGAUCCAGCCAUGCCGCGUGAGUGAUGAAGGCCUUAGGGUUGUUAAAGCUCUUUUGGUCGGGGACGAUAAUGACGGUACCCGCAGAAUAAGU